GUGAGGGAGAUUUGCUUCUGUUUGGCCACAUAUUUUAUGACUGGCAGCCACCAGCACUGGAUAAUUUGAAUUGGUCCUGGACCACCGACCCAGGAAACCCCUACAAGUGUCCUAGGCACCCCAGGUAGCUACGGCACACAGUUUGGGAACCUCUGCAUAAGCAAUACUCUAGAAAUGUUUGUUAUACAAACUAUCUACUCUAGUUUUAAUAUAAGAACUAAUAUCUUUACCAGAUAACCUGUAGAAAAUGCUGCCAAUUUCUUUCUACAGCAUAACUGUAAUCAGAAAAUAUAAGAACAAAAAAAAAAUUCCAGCAACAGAUUGCUGGAGAUACGCUGACAGUGUUAACGCUGACAGAUCUGCAUCUGGCAUACAGUCAAGAAGACAACGCCCUAACUAUGGUGGGCUAUACGGGGAAAAGGUUUUCAAAGCAGCAGACGCAGCAGCUAAAAUCAUAGGAAAAGAUAAAGGAAUAAGCAUUCUUUAAUGUAUAUGUAAAUCAAAGAUUGCAACAAGCAAUUAAUCACUACGAUUCCAGUAUUAACAUACUUUUAGACAAUUCUUCAAAGUUAUUUGGAAGAAUCCUAAUGUAAAAGUUACCCUGGGUAUUUCUAAAGAUUCCAGGAAGAAUAAAGUAGGAACAGAUUGAGUUGGAUGCAUAGCAUAUCUAUAUAUCACUUACCCUGGGUUCGUGAGGAAAAAAAAAAAAAAAAAUAUGCUUGCUAAAAUCCAUCUCAUUGUAUAGGCAUCGAUAUAAUACAUUGCAAAAGUUCUUAGUGGACUGCACAAUAUGCAGUGAUGAACCAGGUUCCGUAGCCAGGAAGUGUGGGGAUAUAAUCGUAUACAAAAAUACAGAUAGAAAUGCGAGCAGGAGCGUUGUUCAGUUUUGUAAGUGAUUUUUCAGUGAAUAUGUAUAUGUGCCAAAACAUCCAUGGGAUGGACACAGUCCAAGAAAAGUUUGCUUGGAAGCAAAUAAGAGUGUGCAUGAAAAAAAAAAAACGUACAGUUUGUGUGGACUGGCCAGUCUGAAUGAUAUGUUGAGAAAUGUAACCAGUAUGUGGAUGAUAUACCUUUGUGUUACAAAUUAUUUGAAGUAUUGGUGUCAGGUACUAAACAGUUGUGUUUUCUUACAGAAAAGGACACACGGUGUCGAAAGACAAAAGUCAACGGUGUGCUGACAUAGUUAACUACCUAGACAUUAUUUGGCGCUAGGCCAAAGAUAGUUAAAACCCUUAGAGGGUGGAGCCUUGGUAUACAUUUAUUGAUAGAUAGAUAUGUAUGACCAGAUGAUAAAUCUCUAGAUACAGUAAUUUUUUUGUAAAUGCUAUAUGCAUACAUUCAAGUUCAUAACCAAAGAAUUUUAGAAGGUAAUACAAUAUUACACUUUAUCAUGAAUAAAACAUUAUGGAUACACAGUCAGAGCCAAACCAUCCACUUAUGUUUAAUACUGAGGUUAAGCAGUAGAUUUUAUAUGAUGUGUACAUUUUACCUCUGACAGUAUACAACUUAGAUAUCAUAUAGCAAUAGUGUAGCUUACGGAGAGAUUUCAGGUUUAAAGAUAUAUCCCUUCACUCAAUAGGGGAUAUAUGAACCAACAGGGAAAUUGUAACAAAAGAUUUGUUCCGUGAAAAAUGUGUUUAUUAGGACACAUAAACUCACUGACAUACUACAUACAUAAAGUGCAUGGGUGAAUCUGGAUCAGUUAAAGUGACCGUGUGAUAGAUGUAAAUCUCUCACCAUAUAAUGGGAUUGCGUUGGGCUAGCUUAAAGAAGCAACAUGGGUCCGAGGCUGAAAAUAGCCUAGGCACCACCGCAGAUGGUUUAUUCAGCGUAUCAGUCCUUUUACUUGCUUCACUGAUCCUCGUCACCCGAUUCCCCUGUCCAAGAACCUAUCCUGGUAAGGUUUCCUCUGGUGGCACAGUGAUGCCCAGCUCAGAGUGUUUCCCGAUUCACAAGAUCCGCCACAACUUAGAUACAGCUGCAUACUUGUCUUCCUCACCCCCAAAAGUGGGGAGUAUAAGGAAUAUAAUGUGGAUGAGUAAGACAAUUAUAAUGAGUACAUCGCAUUUUACAUUGCAUUUAAAGGAAUUGAAAAAUCGAGCAUCCAUAGGGGAUAAUGGGAUGGUGAAGUAGUGAAUUAGUAUUAUUAAUAAUAAAGUGUUGUUGCCAAUUUUCAUUAAGGGGAAAUUUUCAUGAGUUAUGCAAAUCUAAGGGUACCUAACAUGAAAUAGAUUCACAAGCUUUCUAUAAUGAAGUUUAAUGGAGAAGUGUACAUUGUGUUUUGGCAUGGGACCAAAAUAACAAAUUAUGUGAUAAUAAGAGGGAUCGUGAUGGUGAUAAAGAAAGCUAUAGCAUGUUUACUGCAGAUGGUUGGGUUGAUUAAAAACAACAUUGUUUUAAUACAACAUAGUGUAAUGCUAAAAAGGAACUAUAGUAGGUGUAACAGGUGUUAAGAGGUUAUUUGAAAAAUGAAUAAUAAGGCCAGAGGUGUGAGCUAUUGUUUCAAAAGACAGUAAAGUUUCUUUACUGAUAGAAAGAGUUUAUAGGAGUUUGAAAAAUAUUUUGUGUUUAAUAUGUGUAAUGUUGAGAAUAAAAAGUCAUAAUGUGACAAGGAAAGUUUAAAGAAUUAAGCAUUAUUAAUCUACAAAAGAGACAGGAAAGGCAGAAUUUGAAUCAUGGCAUGGUCCAAUCGUUGGUUCAAUAGUGGUAGAAUUACACCUAAGCCUCUGCUUUGUCUCUCUUCUAUAUCAUUUUUUUGUUAUUCUUUUUGGAAUCCAGCAAAGAUAUGUUAUCCAGCAAAGAUAUAUUAUCCAGAGACUGAUUCAAAACUACAAAAUGAUUUGACGAUUCAAAUGUGUCACACAAAUUAUUUAAACAGUUACAAGAAUAUCAAAAGCUGCAAGAACCUUGGAAAGAUAUUUAACCAAUACGAAAACACACAGUCCGGCACAGGACAAUCACUAAGAGAGUGAAGACGGUGUUAUGGUGAGAAGUUGCUUAUGUUUUGGUUCCAUUACAGAUCGCAUAGGAUGGUCCUGGGCAAGUACCGCUGACUCUGAUACAGCCGUUGCAAAGGCUGCAGAAGAAGGACACCUAGAUCCAUGAGCUUGCAAUGAAAUGAAAAGGUCAGAGACCAGAGCUUAAAGGAACCUAACACUAAAAACAAUUGUAUGGAGAUACAAUACAGAGACUGUUACUACUGUUACUACCACAGAGUUGUAUUUGAAUGAACCCUUCAAUCAAGAUAGAGAUGAUUAUGAUCAUUGAUAAUAGACUAUGUGCUUAUAAGCUAGUAUCCUACAGAACUUUUAAUAUUUUUGAAAGUAUACGGGAGCGACGUUAUUUAUAACAGCAUUAGGACUUAAUUUAUUUAUUUUUCUUUGAAGAGAGAGCGAGCAAACGUGUGGUGUAGGUAUGAGUACUCAUCCAUUAUUGUGGAUGGGAAUUAUUUCAAUAAGACCCUUCCUUCCUCUUUUCUUUUCUAAGCAGGAAAUCCAGAGGGAUUUAUGACCGGUGUAACGAACACACACUUUGAAAAACGUGGUUGUGAGUAUUAUACUCCACUUGAAGACAAAUGUAUAGAUUAAUGCAUGGAUAAUUUAAAUAAUUUAGGAUAUUAUUCUGAGGAGUAUCCAGUCCAGCAAUACCAUUAAUUGUUGGAAAGAUUUUAAGUACUGCAGCUAUAUAAAUUGUAUUGCUAAUCAUUAUUUAAGACUAUUAUAAUUGUUAGAUAUGUAUACAUAGAUAAUAGCAGGCCAAAGUUCUCUAUGCAAUUUACAUUUGAUGUGAUUACCAAAACUUUAUAGAGUCGUGAUAAUAGUGAAACACGGUACAUGUGUAUAGAUACAACAGUAUCUCAAGAACGAACCACUGGUGAUAAUAUUAGCUACACAUAUCGGGUGUAUUUCAGUUAGGGGAAAUAAAAUAGGUCAAUAAUACAGAAAAAAAAAAUUAUCUUAUGUAGAUAGAAAAGGUUGAUUUAAGGGAAUGUGAUAGGAUUGUUACAAUAUACUAACCUAAGGUUUCUAGAUGUGCUAGAUAUAAUGAGUUAGGUAUAUAAAUAGUAAUGGUUACAUAGGAUGUUCAUUAAAGUUUAUGAUUUAAUAAAUGUAUUUUACCAGUAGUAGAUUCAAAGGUUAAAAGAAGAUAUCAUACAUAACGGGGAAUGGUAGUUGUCACCAUGUCUUUAGGAUAUGAUAUAUAUAAUUGGUUACCUAUUAAUUCUAAAAAAAAAUGUUUGUUAUUUAAGAAGAUUGAUAUAGCAAUGUUAUACACAAACAUAUAUUAACUUGAGAAAAGUUUUCUUGCAGGAUGAACUAUUCCUAAAAAGAGUAAUUGACUCAGUAAUCAGGAAACAUGUUCCAGCCACCAGAGUAUCAAUAAAACCUCGAAGUGGUAAAGGUGGCUAAUAAGUUCUCCAAUGGCUAAUGAAGUCGUAUGAUUAAUCAACUGGAAGUUGACGUUUUUUUUUUUUUUCCUCGUUUAAACUAUUGAUAACAUGAUUGAACUUUAUGAUAGGAUAUUCCAUAACUGUGGACAUUUAUGAUGAUUCCAGGACAUUGGACAUGAACUAUUACGAUACCAUAUUGUUCUACAUUUUUUAAUACCACAAAUUGGAGGAUAUUGUUGAUUUCCGGAAACAGCACUUUGAGCUCACUGCUGAGCUUAUUUGACCAAAGACAUUACGGAUCCUGAUACGUGUAAUGCCAAGUAUAUAAAGGAGGUCCAUGAUAUAAAAGAACUUUAACCAAGGCAUUAUGAUAUGGACUGGAAAAGAUAAAUGUUUAAAUCCUAGUAUUCAAUUUCAGGAUUAGGAAAAUGUUUUUUUUUUUUUUUAAAUAUAUUGUAUGUGAUUGUAUGUGAUGAUGUAUUCUGUGAUGAGGUUUAUUCUUUGGCGACCCCAAUGUGAUUAUAGACAUUCAUUUGAUGUUCACCGCAUACAGGUGCGGCAUAUGUUGUAGUUAGAAGGCUACUGUCAAACGCAGAAUAGCAAUACUACAUGAAAUGAUUAUUAGUGAACUAUACGUUCCCAGAAAUUCUCCUGAGAUGACAGGGCACAUGGAUAAUGUCCCUGAUCAAAGGGUGGAGCUGUCGAAUACUGUGACUGAGGCAACCUGCUGAAGGCCUAACAGUUAUGUGUGUGCACUACGGGAUAGUACGUAUAUUAUGUAUACAUUUAAUAAGCAAAGGGUUCUCAUAUUCUCUAGUAUAAUCUGAAAGCAUAACAGAAUCCAUUUUGAUUCUAGCUAGAUGAUAUAGCAAAUUCAUAUUGAACUUUAUACACACCCUGAGAGAAAAACAACUUUGUUGGCAGAGUAUUAAUUCCACAUACGCACUUUCUAAAAGCUCUCAGAGUACAGAUGUAAUUCCUAAUAUGGACACAGUUGAAGCUCACGAGUAUCAUUUUAGUAUUCUUGAUAAUUGUCCCAAUAUUGCAUAACUAUAUUGCCUAACAUUGUAUUCCAGAAGAAUGAAAUCAUAUGGGAGGGAUAUAAAAUGGGCGUUACUUUGUAUUAUAUAAAACUCAUUGUUGAUACGUGUAGGUCGUUGUUAAAUGAUUUGAGACAGGACGAGAGGAUGUCCCUCGUCCCUGUAUACGGGCGUGGCCCUUUGAAUAAAUAAUAAUUGAUUUUUAUAAA